rnacentral:rRNA from 1 species
UUUUCGGGAACGGGGAAAKGUAGCGYUUGGGAWGARAUMUUAGAGGCGCGUCGAGGAAGGCCCAAGUCCCCUUUGAACGGGGCGCCGGAGCGGGUGCAAGUCCCGUACGGUCUUCUACCUCGUUGUCUCGCGGUCUUUAUCCCCGGAGUCGGGUUGCUUGAAAGUGCAGCCCAARGUGGGUGGUAUGCUCCACCUAAGGCUAAAUAUUCCCGAGAGACCGAUAGCAAAUAAGUACCGUGAGGGAAAGUUGAAAAGAACUUUGAAGAGAGAGUUCAACAGUACGUGAAACCGCUUAGAGGUAAACGGGUGGGCCCACGAAGUCUGAAGGGCGAGCGCGGCUCAGUUUUCCGGGUUUAACCCGGAAACACGCACUCCUUGCGCUCGCCCCGUAAGCGGCCGCGACUGGUUGGUCGAAGAUCGGAAAGACCCGUGGUGUGGCAAGUGGAAUCCCCUCGCGGGCCUCCGGCCUYCUACCGCGGGGUGAGUCGAUCCUCGCACCKWMCCMSUYMCRGAGAGAGAUCCUYGAMCGGCGUUCCCAYCGAACGGAGGGU